rnacentral:rRNA from 1 species
GUAGGGAAUCUUCGGCAAUGGACGAAAGUCUGACCGAGCAACGCCGCGUGAGUGAAGAAGGGUUUCGGAUCGUAAAACUCUGUUGGUAGAGAAGAACGUUGGUGAGAGUGGAAAGCUCAUCAAGUGACGGUAACUACCCAGAAAGGGACGGCUAACUACGUGCCAGCAGCCGCGGUAAUACGUAGGUCCCGAGCGUUGUCCGGAUUUAUUGGGCGUAAAGCGAGCGCAGGUGGUUUAUUAAGUCUGGUGUAAAAGGCAGUGGCUCAACCAUUGUAUGCAUUGGAAACUGGUAGACUUGAGUGCAGGAGAGGAGAGUGGAAUUCCAUGUGUAGCGGUGAAAUGCGUAGAUAUAUGGAGGAACACCGGCGGCGAAAGCGGCUCUCUGGCCUGUAACUGACACUGAGGCUCGAAAGCGUGGGGAGCAAACAGGAUUAGAUACCCUAGUAGUCC